rnacentral:lncRNA from 1 species
AUAUAUAUAUAUAUGUAUUUAUAUAUCUGUCGAUACGGAUAUCCGUUUUUAAAAAUUUUAGUAUUUACAAUUUAUUUCUUUUCAACGGAUAUUGAUUUUGAAUAUUUGAUUUGCUCUAAAAUUUUACGGAUAUCGAAAUUUUUCGAAUCGAGUCGAAACAAAUAACGUAUCUAUUCAAAUUUAAAGGAUAAAAUUCCAAUCUCUAUAAAUACAUGUAGUGCUAGAGCAGAGGGCAGAUGUCUAAUUCAGUUGAUACGUGUUGCACUCCUAAACAUCAUUGCAUCACUACAAAAACCA